AUGGCCUGGGCCCCUCUGCUCCUCACGCUGCUGACGUACUGCUCAGGGGUCAGUUCGCAGCCCGUGGUGACUCAGGAGCCCUCGAUGUCGGUGACCCCAGGAGGGGCUGUCACUCUGUCCUGCAGCCUGAGCACUGGAGCCAUCACCACCAGCAACUAUCCAGGCUGGUACCAGCAGAAACCAGGCUCUGCUCCUCGGCAGCUUAUAUACCAAACUAACAACAGACCCUCCGGGAUCCCUGCCCGGUUCUCUGGGUCCAUAUCCGGUAACAACGCUGCCCUGACCAUCACCAGUGUCCAGACAGAGGAUGAGGCUGACUAUUACUGUGUUGUACAUACUGGUAGUGCGAAUCACAAUGCGGCUAAUACAACCAUCAACCCAACCAUCACCGACGACCAAGCAGACGAUGAGGCUGGUUAUUUCUGUGGCACAGGGAGUGGGGUGCUGCACA